rnacentral:rRNA from 1 species
AUUGAACGCUGGCGGCAUGCCUUACACAUGCAAGUCGAACGGCAGCACGGGAGCAAUCCUGGUGGCGAGUGGCGAACGGGUGAGUAAUAUAUCGGAACGUGCCCGGUCGUGGGGGAUAACGUAGCGAAAGCUACGCUAAUACCGCAUACGAUCUACGGAUGAAAGCGGGGGAUCGCAAGACCUCGCGCGAUUGGAGCGGCCGAUAUCAGAUUAGGUAGUUGGUGAGGUAAAGGCUCACCAAGCCGACGAUCUGUAGCUGGUCUGAGAGGACGACCAGCCACACUGGGACUGAGACACGGCCCAGACUCCUACGGGAGGCAGCAGUGGGGAAUUUUGGACAAUGGGCGCAAGCCUGAUCCAGCAAUGCCGCGUGCAGGAUGAAGGUCUUCGGGUUGUAAACUGCUUUGUACGGAACGAAACGGUGAGCUCUAAUACAGUUUGCUAAUGACGGUAUCGUAAGAAUAAGCACCGGCUAACUACGUG